GGUAAGGUUAGGUUCUGUAAGGGCAAGGGUGUCACUCGAGGUUAGACUAGCCUUCCACCAUCCUCCCCGUUAUAUAUCACCGUCGCAUUUUCAACCUUCCCGGCGAUGUUUUCUGCAUUAAUUCAUGUCCCCGAAUUACCAUUAUGCAUCACCGGCUCCGAAUGUCCCAGGCAGGGGUCGUAAUGAAGCCCCAAUUACUCCACAACAUUUACCUGCUCGGCGCCUCAUCAGCGGCCCGCAUGAGAUAGUUUUACACAUUUAUGCAGCAUUUGUUCGGUUUGCAGGUUUCAUAUAUCUUCAUUUUAUCAGCGCCGGAAAGAGUAAGAAAUAAAAAUACAGUCUCGUCCUGCAUUAGGGGGGGCUUCGUGGUGCAGUGGUUAGCACACUCGGCUCACAAUCGAGAGAGCCCGGGUUCGAUUCCCGGGGGGAGUGGAAAAACUUGGGCGGCUUUUCCGAUACCCUACGCCCCUGUCCACCCAGCAGUGAAUGGGUACCAGGUAUUAAUCGGGGGUUGUGUCCCGUCUCCUGGGGUCUGUUCCCUUCUCCUAUAAUUCCUUCCCCUCCUGUCUCUCCGGCAUAUGACCACAGAUGUUGCGCCGACUAAACGAAGCUUUCC